rnacentral:tRNA from 1 species
GGGAAUUUAGCUCAGAGGUGUAAGCACUUGCCUGGCAAGCAUAAGGUCAUGAGUUCAAUUCCCA